rnacentral:rRNA from 1 species
CUUACACAUGCAAGUCGAGGGGUAACAUUGUAGCUUGCUACAGAUGACGACCGGCGCUCGGGUGCGUAACGCGUAUACAAUCUGCCUUGUACUGAGGGAUAGCCUUUGGAAACGAAGAUUAAUACCUCAUAGUAUUAUAGUAUCGCCUGAUACAAUAAUUAAAGGUUACGGUACAAGAUGAGUAUGCGUCGUAUUAGCUAGAUGGUGUGGUAACGGCAUACCAUGGCGACGAUAGGUAGGGGCCCUGAGAGGGGGAUCCCCCACACUGGUACUGAGACACGGACCAGACUCCUACGGGAGGCAGCAGUGAGGAAUAUUGGACAAUGGAGGCAACUCUGAUCCAGCCAUGCCGCGUGCAGGAAGACUGCCCUAUGGGUUGUAAACUGCUUUUAUACAGGAAGAAACAUCUCUACGUGUAGAGACUUGACGGUACUGUAAGAAUAAGGAUCGGCUAACUCCGUGCCAGCAGCCGCGGUAAUACGGAGGAUCCAAGCGUUAUCCGGAAUCAUUGGGUUUAAGGGUCCGUAGGUGGAUAAUUAAGUCAGAGGUGAAAUCCUGCAGCUCAACUGUAGAAUUGCCUUUGAUACUGGUUAUCUUGAGUUAUUAUGAAGUAGUUAGAAUAUGUAGUGUAGCGGUGAAAUGCAUAGAUAUUACAUAGAAUACCAAUUGCGAAGGCAGAUUACUAAUAAUAUACUGACACUGAUGGACGAAAGCGUGGGGAGCGAACAGGAUUAGAUACCCUGGUAGUCCACGCCGUAAACGAUGGUCACUAGCUGUUCGGACUUCGGUCUGAGUGGCUAAGCGAAAGUGAUAAGUGACCCACCUGGGGAGUACGUUCGCAAGAAUCAAACUCAAAGGAAUUGACGGGGGCCCGCACAAGCGGUGGAGCAUGUGGUUUAAUUCGAUGAUACGCGAGGAACCUUACCAGGGCUUAAAUGUAGUGUGACAGGACUAGAGAUAGUUUUUUCUUCGGACACAUUACAAGGUGCUGCAUGGUUGUCGUCAGCUC